AUUAAACAUGAACUCAAUGGUUUAACUACACCUCACUGAAUAGCCAGGGGGCUCUAGUCAAUGGUUAGGUUUAGGUGUGACCACUUACCCUUGUUGAGGUUAAUGUUCAGUAAUUAAAUUUGAUGGGUUGGAUGGGUGGGCUCUAAUGAAUAUCUAAUUAAACAACACCUCAGGAGUUUGCAGAUGCUAUUGGACAGUUUAAAUAUAACCCCUGGGGUUGGUAGAGCACUAUUGGACAGUUUAAAGGACACAGGCGCUGGUAGAAACGUUAUUGGACAGUUUAAAUAUGACCCAGGAGCUGGUUAAAUGCUAUGGGCUACUUUUUCUAGCCAUUAAAAGUUAAAAAAAAUUAAGGGUCUAACCCAAAACUGAAAUGUUUCAGUCUUUUACCCAUACUUUAGAACAAGCAUUUGCUCUAAAAGACAAUCAAACAUUUAAAAGCAUUUUAUUUAAACCUCAAGCCUUAAGCAUGAAAGAAGCAUGUUUAAAAAAACAAACCCCAAGACAUUUAUUGAUAUCUGCAAAGGGUCUCCACAUGGAAAUGGGUACAGCUACAUUAAGGAUUGGUGCUUUUACUGUUAAUACUGUAAGAAAGCCCUACAAAAAUGUAUUUUAACUAAAAGAAAAAAAUGUAGCCAAAAGCAACUCAGUUGUGGAGACAGCUUACUUCUUCCACCCCCAGAUCACAAAAGGCAAUGCUAGGGAGGGGUGCCUAAAGUCUUUAAGGAUCUAUUAUUUUAGAGUUGCAGUGAUCAAAUUAACCUGCUAGCUACUAUGUUGAAGUUGUUUGAAACAAUGGGUUAGGAGGGUAUAAAAAAACCUAGGUAGUUUGGAGACUGUCCUUUUCAACAGAAACUUUCUUGAAUGGCUGCUGGACUGCAACAGGAGAAGUGUAAUCUGUUUAACAUGGAACCAGUAAUUUUAAGCUGCAGUUCACCACCAGGCCAAGGCCCAAGCACACAUGGGGGGGAACAGAACAAGCAUGUGCCUGCAACA